CUUGCAGUUGGCAAUAACGUCUUGCUAUAAUUUGAAUUAAACCACUUGUAGCACUGCUCUGUUCUCUAAUUUCAUUUAGGCCCAGUGGGUGUCCUGUCUUCCUGGAAUUUGUUGGCUAUCUAAUGAGAAGCAGCCUGGCAAACGAUGUUAAUGGAUAAAGGCACCUUAUGUGGGGGGCCGCACUGCGUGAUAUGGAGCAGAGCCACCUGACAGCAGCCCGAUGUGAGCGAUAGUGCAGAGGGCAGGAAGCAACAUGAAGAGCCACCCCGGGGCUUGCAGGGCUCUCCAAGCAGACAGAACAGAGGGAGAGGUGCACAAAGAGCCCGUUGAUAUUGACUCGGUUGGAGCAAAACGUCGAUAACCGCAGACCUCGAAGGUCAGGGAGGAUGGAUAGCAGUGAUGGGUGGAGGCUCUCCCUGUGCACGGCUACUGUGUUUCUCAACUGCCUCUGAUCCCUGGGAGCACAUCUUUCCUUCCACGUGGCCAUGGCCAAACAUACACUCUCCUGUAUUAAAAGAGCACCAGCUCCUCGAGAAAGACUGCAGAAAAUCUCUCAUGGUGCACCUUGGGGAGCUACAGAAAUUGAAUCCGCAGCACCUCUGGGAGAAACAUCACCCAAAGAACUCAGGGCAACUUCUGGGACAGCGGGACAAGGUGAUGCUGGAAUCCCUGGCAGCACCCAAGUCUCUCAUUGCCCAAGAAGACAAAUCUUUGUAUGGCACCACAGUACAGCACAAAAAAGCUACGUGGAGCCAAUGACCACCAUCCAAGUCCAUGGCAGCAUGCUGCCCUGUGCUCCCUGGCGUCCAGCUCUUGGACACCUUCAACACAGGUGUUUUCCCAGCUCUUUCUGCUGUUAUGGCCGUGUUCGUGGUGCUCAGAGGUGGGAGCAGGAGGCAGCCCUGGGGGCAUGAAACCCCUCUGAGCAGCAUCACCCCGGUGCUGUGUUCCCAUCCCCAUGAGCCAGCAGGACACCUUUCAUGUCCUAAAUGCAGCGUGGAGGCCAACAUAGCACUAAUUACAAGGCAGUGCAUCCCCGUGCCCUGUGACUAAGGCAGUAUGUAGAGCAAAGGUAGGAACAAACCACCAGAAGAGCAAAUAAAUAAAGGAGGCAGCCUUAAUAAUGGGGUAAUUACCUGGCUUAAGUACACAAUCAUCUAGCAUUUUGCUAAACUUUAUGACACAUGAUGACAAGUUAAUAAAUGAGAUGUCUUACCAGCAGUAAAACAGCUGUUAGCAGCCACCUUGUAUGUCUGGGUAGCCCAGAGCAAAAUGAACCACCGCGCCAAAUGAAAAGAAACUGGUUAUUUCUGUUUGUCGAAAUAGCCCGUGUAAUAAAUCACCAUUAAUGAUGCUGUCACUUAUCAAAGGGAAAG